rnacentral:rRNA from 1 species
GAUGAACGCUGGCGGCGUGCUUAACACAUGCAAGUCAAACGGGAAUUACUUUAUUGAAACUUCGGUCGAUUUAAUUUAAUUCUAGUGGCGGACGGGUGAGUAACGCGUGGGUAACCUGCCUUAUACAGGGGGAUAACAGUCAGAAAUGGCUGCUAAUGCCGCAUAAGCGCACAGAGCUGCAUGGCUCAGUGUGAAAAACUCCGGUGGUAUAAGAUGGACCCGCGUUGGAUUAGCUUGUUAGUGGGGUAACGGCCCACCAAGGCGACGAUCCAUAGCCGGCCUGAGAGGGUGAACGGCCACAUUGGGACUGGGACACGGCCCAGACUCCUACGGGAGGCAGCAGUGGGGAAUAUUGCACAAUGGGGGAAACCCUGAUGCAGCGACGCCGCGUGAAGGAAGAAGUAUCUCGGUAUGUAAACUUCUAUCAGCAGGGAAGAUAGUGACGGUACCUGACUAAGAAGCCCCGGCUAACUACGUGCCAGCCGCCGCUGUAA